rnacentral:rRNA from 1 species
UACGUAGGGUGCGAGCGUUAAUCGGAAUUACUGGGCGUAAAGCGUGCGCAGGCGGUUUUGUAAGCCAGAUGUGAAAUCCCCGGGCUCAACCUGGGAAUGGCAUUUGGGACUGCAAGGCUGGAGUGCGGCAGAGGAGACUGGAAUUCCCGGUGUAGCAGUGAAAUGCGUAGAGAUCGGGAGGAACACCAGUGGCGAAGGCGACUACCUGGACCAGCACUGACACUGAGGCACGAAAGCGUGGGGAGCAAACAGG